rnacentral:rRNA from 1 species
UACAGAGGGUGCGAGCGUUGUUCGGAAUUAUUGGGCGUAAAGGGCGCGUAGGCGGUGCCACAAGUCACUUGUGAAAUCUCCGGGCUUAACUCGGAGCCUGCAGGCGAAACUGUGGUGCUGGAGUGUGGGAGAGGUGCGUGGAAUUCCCGGUGUAGCGGUGAAAUGCGUAGAUAUCGGGAGGAAUACCUGUGGCGAAAGCGGCGCACUGGACCAUAACUGACGCUGAGGCGCGAAAGCUAGGGGAGCAAACAGG